AACCACUACCGUGGGACUGGGAGCACUCAACCACAGAAAUUCUUGCCUGAAUCUUGCAAUGGAGAUAGUGUCAAUAAUGGAGUUGAAGUUUUCCUCUAUUGUCUAUGAAGAAGACACGGGGAUGACAGCGAAUCAUCGAGUAAUAACCAAUAUCAGCUAGAUGUAUGAACCUGCCUCAUUGUGGUUGUGCGGAG